rnacentral:lncRNA from 10 species
CUCAAUUCUCCACCCUUCCCCUCUUGACAUCUUGCUCUUCUUCCCUUCAUCUAUUGUGUUAGUCAGGUGCAUGCUGGUCUUCCCUCUAUCAAACUGUAAGCUACUUGGAGACUUGGGAUGCCUCACUCAUCUCUAUUCCCAAACCUCAGGGUCUAUCAUUCUACCUUCUGUAUAGACAGGACUUUCAUAGUUUUGAACAAGUCAGAACCUGAAAGAAUUUGCUUCCAGAACAGGACAUUGACAGGAAAAUUAAGCAUGAUCAUGCCGAGUAAAAUAGGAAUAAGAAUUGGACCUACCUCAAGAUCUGUUGAGAAGAUUAUGAGAGAGCUGAUGGAUCUAAAAGAUUGGCGCUUGGUAAUGACUGUCAAUUCUUUCUAUUACUUCUGUGUGUAAUUCAUCACCUAUUCUUGUUCAUCACUUGCGAAAAUUGUAACCCCUUUCUGUACUGAGUAAAAUGGAAACCUGUGUCUGCUCCUAGAGCCCCCUG